AAGGACACUUUGUGUCCGCCGGGGAUAGUUUCCACCUCUCCUUUCCAAAGGCUACAGGCCACAGGUUGAAAACCACUGUUCUAGGGGCAAGGAAGGAAUGAAGAAAAUCCCAGACAGGAGACUGGUGAAUAGUUCCUCGGCCUCAGCAUGAGUUCCAGAUUACAGUGAAUGGGCUCAAGUUCCUCACGGUCUGGUUCUGCUCUGUUGUGGAAAAAAUGAGGACAAGUUGAUGCCAGCAUGUGGAAUAGACUGCUGCAUCUCUGAGCCAUAGCCCUUGUUCUGCGGUAUUUCCAACAGAGGAGGAGCAAAAGCAUGGAGAGAGAUGGAAACGGGGAAACAAAAACAAUGAGGUUUCAGCCUGGCCUUACUAGCAAGUAACGAGAAUUGCCAUCCUAUCAAGUUCGCCGUCUCCGACAAAGCUUGUACACAAAAACACUUUCAAAAGCAGCUAAGGUAGGUUUGCGAUUCCUGGAUUCAUGGUGCAGAGUUUUAUAGCUACGUUAGUCAUCUCAGACAAGUAAAGAGCAGGUAUUUGAAAAGCAGCAUCUUAUACUUAAAUGUAUUCCCCGUCCCGUAUCCGUGCACAAAGUAGAUUAAAAAAUAUGAAGAAAAAUGAUAUAAAAGAUUUUACAGGAAAAGUAGAUCAGACAUCUGAGGUUUCUUACUGUUAAAAACUUGCAGAAAUCUCAGGUAAAGAAAGUACUUAACAGCCUCCUUACCUGAACAGAACUUGUCAGCAACCUUUUAAAGUAAAGAGGUCACCCUUUUACUCAUUUUAUCUCACAUUCCUUAGUAUCCUGGGAACAGGAGAAAAUGUGUGAGGCCUUUAAAUAUAGCCUCCCCAGUUCUUGGAGAGUAAAAGAUAGGAAUAAGAAGGAAUUGUCAAUUGAGAAGGACUGGCCUUGUCAUGUUCUAGGUUUCAUGUUUUCUCUGAGAUUUUUACGUCGUCCCCCCCCCCCCCCCCCCCCUUCUUUUUUUUUAGCAAGCUGUUGUUUUGGAUAAGGGAGGAUGUUAAAAAUAGUAUUCUCCUGGAUCUUGUAAAUCUGGUUGUGUUUACACAUUGUAGAUUAGAUUAGUGAGAUUCUAGAGGUGGGUGACCUGUAGUGCCUGAAAAUUAGCUUUUUUAAAAAGGAAA